rfam:Manacus vitellinus contig41049, whole genome shotgun sequence.
ACAGUGGCUUAGUUGGUUAAAGUGCCUGCCUAGUAAAUAGGAGAUCUUGGGUUUAAAUCCCAGAAGUUGUG